GUGUUCAUCUCAGGUUCCUGUCAUUAUUCAAAGUUGGUUCACAAUAUCAUAUCAGGCAAAAUCACAAACCCUACUGCCACGUCUGCUUUGUUAAGCUCCUCAGCUAGACUCUGUACCGGUUUGCCAAUCUGUGUGUACAUGUCUCUACACUUUUAAUGUCUAAAUGCACAUCUGGAUGUAUGUGCACUUGUAUGUCUAUCUGCAUCUAUGAGUCAGUGGUUUGUCAGAUAUAAGGCGUUAAUGUGAGAAAUGUUUCCUGACUAUUAACUCCUGAUACUCAAGGAACUUUCCUGUUUGCCGAACUUCCUAGGUUUGGCCUUUUACACUUUUACUAAAGAAAUUUUAACAGAGCCCAAAAAGAUUUUUAUUUUGCUCCUGUGCUUGACAGGUUAAGCGAAGUUGUUUUUUGUUUUGUUUUGAAAUUUUCCCUUCUGUGUGUGUGUGUGUACGUAAGUAAGAAUAUAAUAAUCAACAUAAGAUCCCUGGUUUGCAAAUGAUUUUCUGCCCCCGCUGCAGGGCAACAUCAUGUGGUGGUGAGUCUAUGUUGGCUAGUUUAAUGCAAAUAUGUAACAGUUGCUUCAUUACAUUGCCCACUCAGAGUUGCGCAGUUUCAAAGUAUGUGGAGAAUUCAAUACACAUUUCUUGGCUAAUUAUUUUCCCAAUAAAAGUGAAAUCAUACAUUGCAUUUGAUUUCACUUAUAUAUUAUCCUGUUCUGGGCUCUAUCCAUUAUAUUAACUUUAUUCAAUCUCAAUACUCCUUAUGUGUGUGAGCAACGCUUUUAGUUUUAUUAAACACCACCCCAGUAAAAUGCACACCAUCCCCAUGUCAGCCUAAAUCUCCGCUAAAAAGCACACUUCAAAGUUUUCUAUCUGGAUUUACGCUUCUUUUGGCCUCAAGCAUAUACAUAACAUGCAAAGGUUACUGUUAAUGCCCGUUAGACAAGUUUCCAUUAUCUACAACAUUUUGUUUCACCCGGCUCACCCUUACACAUUUCCUGUUCACUUAUUGCAUAUUUAUCUUUAACACCUUUUACCUCAGUAGUUGCUUUGUUUCUGCUUAGCAACUACUGAGGUAAAUGGUGUUAAAGAUAAAUAUGCAAUAAGUGAACAAGAAAUGUGUGAGGGUGAGCCGGGUGAAACAAAAUGUUGUAGAUAAUGGAAACUUGUCUAACGGGCAUUAACAGUAACCUUUGCAUGUUAUGUAUAUGCUUGAGGCCAAAGGAGGCAUAAAUCCAGAUAGAAAACUUUGAAGUGUGC
ensembl:lncRNA